rnacentral:rRNA from 1 species
AAUCAACGCUGGCGGCGUGCCUCAGACAUGCAAGUCGAACGAUUAAGACUUCCUUCGGGAAGUGCAUAAAGUGGCGCACGGGUGAGUAACACGUAAGUAAUCUACCUUCGAGUGGGGAAUAACCCGGGGAAACCCGAGCUAAUACCGCAUAAUGCAGCGGCAUCGCGAGAUGACAGUUGUUAAAGGAGCAAUCCGCUUAAAGAGGAGCUUGCGGCAGAUUAGCUAGUUGGUAAGGUAAUGGCUUACCAAGGCUACGAUCUGUAUCCGGUCUAAGAGGACGGUCGGACACACUGACACUGAAUAACGGGUCAGACUCCUACGGGAGGCAGCAGUCGGGAAUUUUGGGCAAUGGGCGAAAGCCUGACCCUGCAACGCCGCGUGAAGGAUGAAGUAUUUCGGUAUGUAAACUUCGAAAGAAUAGGAAGAAUAAAUGACGGUACUAUUUAUAAGCUCCGGCUAACUACGUGCCAGCAGCCGCCGUAAUAC